rnacentral:rRNA from 1 species
UACGAAGGGAGCUAGCGUUGCUCGGAAUCACUGGGCGUAAAGCGCACGUAGGCGGCUUUUUAAGUCAGGGGUGAAAUCCUGGAGCUCAACUCCAGAACUGCCUUUGAUACUGGCGAGCUUGAGUUCGGGAGAGGUGAGUGGAACUGCGAGUGUAGAGGUGAAAUUCGUAGAUAUUCGCAGGAACACCAGUGGCGAAGGCGGCUCACUGGCCCGAUACUGACGCUGAGGUGCGAAAGCGUGGGGAGCAAACAGG